UGCUACACUGAUGGCUCAGUCAGUAGAGCAUGAGACCCUUAACCUCAGGGUUGUGGAUUCGAGCCCCACAUUGGGCAA